CAGUUGAACCCGUUGACAGCCGGUGGAAGGGUCAGGUAGUCGUGCUCGUCCGUGAGAGGCACCGUAAGCGCCUCAGCACAGCCCAAGCAGACCGACGGUGGGGCAAGGAUCCACAGCAGGGUGAGCUGUAGUGGAAAAGGCAAGUUCAUGACCAUGUUCUUCGCGGUGGCGUGCCCCGACUGAGAGCCGGGCAUCAGGGGUUUAAAUGGUUUGGCAAAUUGGUCUGUGCUGGUGGCGGCGCCAGGUGUCCAACCGAGCAUGCGCACUUCAGCAAGGAGUGGUGGCAGGGCGCAGUUGAACCCGU